AUUCUUUUAGUAUUAUUCAGUACAGUUGACUUCCAAUCAACUAGCUUCGGUAGAGCCCGAAAAAGAAUA
rnacentral:tRNA from 1 species